AGCUUUGCACAGUGGCAGUAUCGUAGCCAAUGAGGUUUAUCCGAGACGCGAUUAUUGCUAAUUGAAAUACUUACCCGUGAGGACCAUUAAGGUUCAAGCUCACUGGGAACCCUUGAGAAACCACGUAGAUGUG
ensembl:snRNA U4 U4 spliceosomal RNA